UCCUGGCUCAGAUUGAACGCUGGCGGCAUGCUUUACACAUGCAAGUCGAACGGCAGCGGGGGCUUCGGCCUGCCGGCGAGUGGCGAACGGGUGAGUAAUGCAUCGGAACGUGCCCAUGUCGUGGGGGAUAACGUAUCGAAAGGUACGCUAAUACCGCAUACGUCCUGAGGGAGAAAGCGGGGGAUCGCAAGACCUCGCGCGAUUGGAGCGGCCGAUGUCGGAUUAGCUAGUAGGUGAGGUAAAGGCUCACCUAGGCGACGAUCCGUAGCGGGUCUGAGAGGAUGAUCCGCCACACUGGGACUGAGACACGGCCCAGACUCCUACGGGAGGCAGCAGUGGGGAAUUUUGGACAAUGGGGGCAACCCUGAUCCAGCCAUGCCGCGUGAGUGAAGAAGGCCUUCGGGUUGUAAAGCUCUUUCGGCCGGGAAGAAAUCGUGUUCUCUAACAUAGGACAUGGAUGACGGUACCGGACUAAGAAGCACCGGCUAACUACGUGCCAGCAGCCGCGGUAA
rnacentral:rRNA from 1 species